rnacentral:rRNA from 1 species
CCUACGGGCGGCAGCAGUGAGGAAUAUUGGUCAAUGGACGAGAGUCUGAACCAGCCAAGUAGCGUGAAGGAUGACUGCCCUAUGGGUUGUAAACUUCUUUUAUCUGGGAAUAAAACAGGGUAUGCAUACCCUCUUGUAUGUAACAUAUGAAUAAGCAUCGGCUAACUCCGUGCCAGCAGCCGCGGUAAUACGGAGGCUCCGAGCGUUAUCCGGAUUUCUUUGGUUUAAAGGGUGCGUAAGUGGAGUGUUAAGUCAGUUGUGAAAGGUUGUGGCUCAACCGUAUCACUGCAGUUGAAACUGGCAGUCUUGAGUAGAGUAGAGGUGGGCGGAAUUCGUGGUGUAGCGGUGAAAUGCUUAGAUAUCGCGAAGAACUCCGAUUGCGAAGGCAGCUCACUGGACUGCAACUCACGCUGAGGCUCGAAAGUGUGGGUAUCAAACAGGAUUAGAUACCCUUGUAGUC